rnacentral:rRNA from 1 species
UACGGAGGGUGCGAGCGUUGUCCGGAAUCACUGGGCGUAAAGGGCGCGUAGGCGGCCUGAUAAGUAGGGGGUGAAAUCCUGCGGCUUAACCGCAGGGCUGCCUUCUAAACUGUCAGGCUGGAGCACAGUAGAGGCAGGUGGAAUUCCCGGUGUAGCGGAUGGAAUGCGUAGAGAUCGGGAAGAACAUCAGUGGCGAAGGCGGCCUGCUGGGCUGUUGCUGACGCUGAGGCGCGACAGCGUGGGGAGCAAACAGG